GUUAAUAUUAUAUGUCUAUUUCAAUAGUAAAAUAAAUAAUAUCAUAUAUAUAUUCUUAUUAGAAAUUUUACAUGUAACAUCUAGACAUGGUUUUAUCAAACGCUUAGGACAUAUCAGCAACUAACUAUCAGCAACCGCUAUCAACUAUCAGCAACCGCUAUCGGUUAUCAGUUAUAUCCGCUAUUAUCCAAUAGCUAAACUAAACAGACCCUAAAAGAACUCAAUCUCAGUCAAGUUAAACAGUGGUUUUGAGAUUAUACUCUUCAUUUACACAGUACACUGAAAUACACAAGCAAUUCUCUCCCUAUUUUGCAUGCAGUAAAAAAAAAAAUUAAAGGGUUUUCAUACAACAACACAUACAGCAUAAACAAGAGUAAAAAUUCAAGAUUUUUACAAGAACCACCUAAAUCCGAUGCAUUACACAUCUAAAAUAAAUUUGGGUGCCUUUUACUUUCCUGCUUUUACUAGUUCCAAUUCCUUUGGAAUGCAGAAGUGAACUCGCUCCAGCUUUCAAUAUCUCAGGUUCCAAGCUCUACCUCAUCAUAGCUACUCAACCAUGACAUUGUAUUAUCAUAUCUUAAUAGGAUGCAAGUAUUGGUUAAUUUAGCUAGCCAAUUGUUAGCUAGUAGCCCUAACAGUAGAUAUUCCAGAGAAGAAAAUAGAAGAAAUAAUAGA
rnacentral:misc_RNA from 1 species